rnacentral:lncRNA from 1 species
AGCCCGGCCCCGUCGCCGGCGGGGCGCCGGCCGUCGAGCCGCACCGCCCCCUGCUGCGCCCUGUUUUUGGCGCGGGGAAGAAGAAGACCUGGCGCUUGGGGCCCAUGCGCCAGGGAGAAAGGAGGGGAAGAGAAGGUGGGCCGGUGGGCCUGCGGGUAGAAUAGGAAGCGGGGAGUAGAGUCGGUCCAGUAGGGCCCAGCGAGAGAGAGAGAGGGUAGAGAGGAUUAGAGUGAUAAAAGUUGGGCCGGGGGUAUUUGGAUAAUCUUAGGUUUUUCCUUUAAUAGAUAAUUAGUGUAAAUUCGGUUUACACCUUUUAAAUCACAGGAAUUUCUAGGAGUGUCCAAAAUUAGUGAAACCAAUUUUGUUAGGAUUAUUUCAUUUUCCUUUAUGCAUUAAAAUUCUUAUACCUUAGGAAAAAUAAUAAAAACUUAGGUAUUUAUUUAAUGCCUUUUCAUUAAGGUAUUUAAAUAAAUGCUUAACCUUUAUUAAAUGCAUAAAAAAUUGAAUAAUGUUUUCAUAUUCACAAAUU